UCAAACAGCACAGACAAAUCAUCUAAUGGCGUCAUUAUAUCUUGAACUAUUAAGAUAUCUUUUCGUAUUUUCUGAUUAAAAAGUGCUUUGUUGAUAAUAUUUGCAACUAGGAAUGUAUCAUAACUUGAUGAUAGAACAGGUAAAUCAUGUUCAUUCGCAAAAUUAAUAACUUUAUUAGAUGGCUUAAAUCCACCAGUAAUUAAUAUAGCCGUACCUCUUUUUAAAGCUUCAAUCUGCACAUCUUCGCGAUUUCCGACAAUCAAUAAUGUCUU
rnacentral:sRNA from 1 species